rnacentral:tRNA from 1 species
GUCCCCGUAGCUUAGCUGGAUAAAGCGUAAGGUUCCGGUCCUUAAGAUCGCAGGUUCAAAUCCUGCCGGGGACACCA